rnacentral:rRNA from 1 species
GACGAACGCUGGCGGCGUGCCUAAUACAUGCAAGUAGAACGCUGAAGGAGGAGCUUGCUUCUCUGGAUGAGUUGCGAACGGGUGAGUAACGCGUAGGUAACCUGCCUGGUAGCGGGGGAUAACUAUUGGAAACGAUAGCUAAUACCGCAUAAUAUUGACUAUUGCAUGAUAGUCAGUUGAAAGGUGCAACUGCACCACUACCAGAUGGACCUGCGUUGUAUUAGCUAGUUGGUGGGGUAACGGCUCACCAAGGCGACGAUACAUAGCCGACCUGAGAGGGGGAUCGGCCACACUGGGACUGAGACACGGCCCAGACUCCUACGGGAGGCAGCAGUAGGGAAUCUUCGGCAAUGGACGGAAGUCUGACCGAGCAGCGCCGCGUGAGUGAAGAAGGUUUUCGGAUCGUAAAGCUCUGUUGUAAGAGAAGAACGAGUGUGAGAGUGGAAAGCUCACACUGUGACGGUAUCUUACCAGAAAGGGACGGCUAACUACGUG